rnacentral:rRNA from 1 species
UGGGGAAUCUUGGACAAUGGGCGCAAGCCUGAUCCAGCCAUGCCGCGUGAGUGACGAAGGCCUUAGGGUUGUAAAGCUCUUUUGCCGGGGACGAUAAUGACGGUACCCGGAGAAUAAGUCCCGGCUAACUUCGUGCCAGCAGCCGCGGUAAUACGAAGGGGACUAGCGUUGUUCGGAAUUACUGGGCGUAAAGCGCACGUAGGCGGAUUUGUCAGUCAGGGGUGAAAUCCCGGGGCUCAACCUCGGAACUGCCUUUGAUACAGCAAGUCUUGAGUCCGAUAGAGGUGGGUGGAAUUCCUAGUGUAGAGGUGAAAUUCGUAGAUAUUAGGAAGAACACCAGUGGCGAAGGCGGCCAACUGGCUCGAUACUGACGCUGAGGUGCGAAAGCGUGGGGAGCAAACAGGAUUAGAUACCCUUGUAGUCCCUGAGCGGGCUGGCAAGGCGCAU